GCUAGGUGCGCUCACAGCUGGACCAAGCGGGGCUGUCUAGUUCCUGGGGAUUGAAGUGCAGGGUAGCACACCAGGGCCCGUGAAGGUGAAGUCCUCCUAACCCAGGCUACAAGGGGACUCCCAGGGCUUGGAAUAGGGAAAUCCACACAUCUGAGACUUCCAUGUCACCGCUUUCCUCUCCACCAACUCCUCUGUGAUUCCAAGCUGUGCGAUGGCAGACCACCAGCUUCCUGGGCCUUGCAGUUUUGGGACCCCCCUCAGCCCCAGGACCUUUCCAUGCUAAUGCAGCCUCUCUGCCCCACGAAAGAGCUCCAUCUACAAGCCACAGAACAACCCCACAUCUGCUUAUUCAUCCAUUUGGAACCCAGUCUGCCCAGAUUCCUUGUUGACCUGCACUUCACUUCACCGCUGACCCCUCAUCCUUACCUUCUCCCUUUGCUCCCGGCUCACUGACCCUCUGCUGGAUUACCCAACCUGCCUGCUCAGUCUUAGGAGUGUUCAAUCAGAUUCUUUAGAUGAAAUAACAGACAUGGAUUCCGACUACCAGAGGCAAAAUAGUCCUAGAAAGAAAAAUAUGGAUCGCCUCGCAAAAUACGAAGAAAGUCAAGGCCAACUAGUGAGGAGCGCUGUGUAGAAGAAUGGAUGCGGAGCCUCCUCAGGGCUGUGCCCCACAACAAGCGAGCCCCAGCCCACUUCUGAACUGAGCCACUCAGCUUGAGGCUCUGUUCAAAUGUCUGAGAGAAUCUAAUUGGCAGGUUGAACCGUGCUCCCAAUUUAU
rnacentral:lncRNA from 1 species